AGAUGGAGUUUCACCAUGUUGCCCAGGCUGGUUUUGAACUCCAGGGCUCAGGCCCACCUCCACCUCCCAAAGUGCUGGGAUUAUAGGUAUGGGCCACUGUGCCCAGCCCUAUGAAGAAUAUCUUCAAAGUAUAUAAAAUACUGCUUUUUCAAAAUAGGUACAACCUCUUCAUCUUCACAACAACGAAUAAUGUAGCUGGGACAAGUAUCAGAAUGAUUCUCACUGUACAGAUGAAGAAACUCAGUCUGCGUGCAUGGUAUUUGCCCAAGGUCAUACAGGUCAUUAAGAGAAAGUGGGAAUACAAUCUAGGUCUCUACUAGUGUGUCAUUUUGUCUUUAUCAAAAAUAAAAAUAAAUUCAGAUGGAA